ensembl:lncRNA
ACACACUGCACAAGUAGUUUUAAAAUAUAUCACACACUUUAGGAAAAUCAGAAAAUGAAGCUGGUGAAUAUUGGGUUAAAUGAAAUAGAGACCAGAGAUGAUAAGAAUAUUAUAAUGGCAUAUUUGAACUUACACUUGAAGAAUCUAAAAGCUUUUCUCCUCUAGGUGACCCAGAAGUAAGCAAACAGAAUAUAUGUCAGCAAGAUGUGGUCAGCUACUUACGCCUAUAUCAAGUGUAUGAGCUUCUUGACUCUUUGUCUGAGUUCAAGUACAUAAUUCAACUUAAUAAUUCAUGUAUUCUAUUUAACAAUGACUACUGUUGUCUCAAGACAAUAAUAUUGCUCUCCUGUCCAACCAGUAUACCUUUUUCAUAUUAGAGGAAGUUAAGCAAAAUGCUACCAAAUAAAAAAAAGAAUCAAGAAAAUAUUUCUCUUCUCAUUCAUAGCCCUGUUCAGAUGCUACACUGCUACCUCUACUCUUGUUUUGCAAAUAAGUAGUCAGGGCAUAUCAUGCAGAAGAACUCCUGCCUCCUGACCGUGCAGCAGCAGACCUUCUAAGAAAUCAUUGCCUCUUUCUAAGCUAUAGUACAUAUGCAUAAUGGUAUUAAAAAGGCUGAAGACUUAACUAAAUAUAAUUUUCUUAAAACCUCUAAGUAUUACUUUUGCGAUAAACAAGGUGUUCAGAUUUGUACUGACAUGAAUUUAUGUUCCAUAAUUUUCUACUAAUUUUCAUACAGACUUUUAUAAUUAAUGAGUACAACUUUGACACCUUAUUAUGUUCCAGAUAACAAUUAUAGCAAAUCCUUUGUUUUUACUUUUAAAGUGAACAAUUGCAUAAAAACAUUAAAACGUAUUGUCACCUCAUGCAGAACCCAAAACCUGAAAUGUACUUCCUGACAUUACAAUUCAUUCACCCUUUUCACAAAUUCUCUUGUAAACAUUGCUACAAGAAAAAUUAGCUAGAACAAAGUAAAAUGGAAGAAUUAAUGUCUCCAACAUAAACAAAUACACAAAGCAUCUAUUUGUAUCCCUGGAAAGAUAUUUACGUAAUGCUUGAAGAGAGUAAAAGUGAUCAAACAGUCCCAGUUUAGGGUGGCAUUAAUUUGUAGAGAGGUUAGUGAGGAAAAUACAAGCUAGAGAAAAAAAGAAGUCACUCAAAGAAAAUAAAUCUUAAAGUGUUCUGUUUCUUCAGUUGUUCAUUAACCAAAACAACUUGCACCUCUAGGGCCUUUUUCAUGCAAAUACAAGCCUCAAAGAGCCAAGUCUUUAAUUACACAUCAGCACUGGAAAAGUAUACAGGAAAUGAAUGAGGUAAGCCUUGUAAACUAGCAGAAACCUUGUCACUGGCAAAGCAGUCAUGUGUUGGAGAAUUAUUAUUGUCAAUAAAAACAAACUUUCAAUCCCUGACUUGAGCAUUUGGAGAAAAAAAAAAAAAAAAGAAAGAAAAACAAGAAUAUAGUUAAUCAAACACAUAAACACAUAUCCUUCCCUUCUCCAGUCUUAAUUGCCCCUACACUCACCAAUGGUUACACACAGUUCAUGGAAACCUCUCUGGUAGGGAGGCAAGGUGACAAGAAAAUCUCAAGGCAGAUGCAUCCCCCAUGGCUGUCCCUACUCCAUCAUGGGCUGUUCAGCUACAUUUUAUCAGGGGUGUUCCCCUGGCCCCCACCCACCAUCAUGGCUGCCAAUUUUGUAAAUGCAUGCGCUGAAGGGCCCUAUGGCUCCCACUGUCCAGCCCAUGUGCUCAGGCUGUGGGCAGCACAGGGCAGUGCUUCCCAUUUCUGCACAGCUGUCCCUGCAGCCUCCCACUGCCCAGGCCCUAUAACAGGAUAGCCUUCCUGAAAAUGUGCAGCACAUUUGAGCACUUCAGAUAUAACUGUUUCCAGCAACACCCUUGUUAAUAAUUAUCCAUAUACUGCACAGAAUCUGCCUGAGCUUCAUGCUUUAACACGGAAAUUCCAAACAUAAAUCCUCAUUACUUUUACAGGAAAUUUUAAACAAAACAUGAAAUGAAUCUUGCUGCCUCUCUGCUCUCAGGAGUAGUACCGUUGACAUCUAUGGUGCCAUGUUAGGAUUAUAUUAUGCUUUAUAAUGAAACUGGAGAGUAUUUUAUAUUGAUCUCUAUAAUCUCUUUGGCUUACAUAAGCCAGGAUUUCAUCUUGCAUUUACAAGCAACCAAAAACCAGAAAACUAUGUAUCAUUUCAAGCAGUUUUAUUUACACAUGCAGUUAUUAUUUACAGAACUGGGAAUAGACUAGAAAGCAUAUUAUAAGUUUCCAAGAAAAAAGAGUGUAUUUGGUAUGUGCAUGUAGGUUUACAUUUAGAGUUAAAUAUCUAUUGUACAUUCUCACUUUCAAUCCAUUCAUAUGUAUACGAAAAGCUUUUCCCAUUUUUCAUAAUAAAUAUAUAUUGCUUCAUAUUUUUGAAUGGAAGUCAUUUAUAUUUGUGUAUGUAAUCACAAUGUCCUGUAAUGAUGGACUACAUUCAAGCACCUGUGUACUUCCAGAUAUUUUUUUUUAUUGAAGUUUUCCCAGUGUUUGGUGUAAGAGAUUAUUCUUUUAUAUAAUUGACUCAAAGUUUGCUGAGGAACAAGUCCAGGCAAGUUCUGGGAAUAGGUAGAGAAAUCUGUCUGGAGGACACUGAUGGACAGAUCCUGGCUAAGGGUUGUGAAAUCCUUUAAGGAGCACAGAUGGACAAGGCCAGGGGCAACGAGAGAGGGAUAAGCUGCUGAUAAUGGCCAGGAAACGGUCUUUUGUGUGGACUUAUCUCCAGGAAGAUGGCCAUCUCAGGAGGUAUGCACAUGACUCUUGCUCAAGCACCCAGGGAUGUCACGUAGGCAGGAAAAAAAGGAGGAUAAAAGAGGGUCCAACAACUAUGAGGAGAGGGUUUCUGCCAUCAGAUCCCUCACUACGGAUCGUAUGCUGAUGGACUUCCCUGGACCUGCUACCUGAGACCUGCUGCUUCCUCCUGGGCUUACUCUGCGGCUUCUUCCUGGACCCACCCGGUACCUGCACCCUCCCGUUGCCCACGAUUGGCCUCGGUGCUCCUGCCUUUCAGCCUCAGACCAUCGGAAUGUCGUGCAAUGGGACUACUGCCGGAUCCUGGUAGUGACUAUCCCUGCUUUACGCAAUUCUUGCUUCUUUCUAUCUUUUCUAUCACUCGCCUUCCCUUCCCCAUCACCCCAAUCCGUAAUAGUGUUCGUCCUCCCCUUUCUUCAUCUCCCUUAUUAACAUAUGUAAUAAACUGGUUGGACC